AUUGAACGCUGGCGGCAGGCUUAACACAUGCAGGUCGAGCGGGGGAAGGUAGCUUGCUACUGGACCUAGCGGCGGACGGGUGAGUAAUGCUUAGGAAUCUGCCUAUUAGUGGGGGACAACAUCUCGAAAGGGAUGCUAAUACCGCAUACGUCCUACGGGAGAAAGCAGGGGAUCUUCGGACCUUGCGCUAAUAGAUGAGCCUAAGUCGGAUUAGCUAGUUGGUGGGGUAAAGGCCUACCAAGGCGACGAUCUGUAGCGGGUCUGAGAGGAUGAUCCGCCACACUGGGACUGAGACACGGCCCAGACUCCUACGGGAGGCAGCAGUGGGGAAUAUUGGACAAUGGGGGGAACCCUGAUCCAGCCAUGCCGCGUGUGUGAAGAAGGCCUUAUGGUUGUAAAGCACUUUAAGCGAGGAGGAGGCUACUUUAGUUAAUACCUAGAGAUAGUGGACGUUACUCGCAGAAUAAGCACCGGCUAACUCUGUGCCAGCAGCCGCGGUAAUACAGAGGGUGCGAGCGUUAAUCGGAUUUACUGGGCGUAAAGCGUGCGUAGGCGGCUUAUUAAGUCGGAUGUGAAAUCCCCGAGCUUAACUUGGGAAUUGCAUUCGAUACUGGUGAGCUAGAGUAUGGG
rnacentral:rRNA from 1 species